rnacentral:rRNA from 1 species
UCGAGAAUUUUCCGCAAUGGACGAAAGUCUGACGGAGCGACGCCGCGUGGAGGAAGACGUUCUUCGGAAUGUAAACUCCUUUUGCCAGGGAAAAAGUUAUUGAUUGUACCUGGAGAAUAAGAAGUUGCUAAACUCGUGCCAGCAGCAGCGGUAAUACGAGUGCUUCAAGCGUUAUCCGGAAUCAUUGGGCGUAAAGGGUGUGUAGGUGGUCAUGUUAGUCUUCUGUUAAAUCUUUCGGCUCAACCGAGAG